AAUUACAAUUCCUGCCAUUAAUGUUGCUUAUAUUUCACGCAACCCGUGUAAGUCGUAAGCGUGUAUUAUCGCGAGGUUUCUCGAUGUGUAGUUGCCUACCAUAAGUCAUCGGAACAAUGCACGAGCACAUAGGUAUUAUUUACUCUACCUUCGUACUCGAGCUAUGAUCUAUACUCUAUGCGAGUAGUCUGCCAUCUAUACUUAUUUCCAUGUACUUGUUUCUCGAUUAAUGUCUCCCGAUUAUUAAAAAUUAACACGUCGAAUCAUUUGUAAAUGUAUAUCAAUUACUCGCAAUAGGUACAUACGCGAUGUAACGAUAAAGUAUUAUAUCCUUUUUCAUCCUUCAAACGAUUCAAAGUGUAGUUUGGAAUGUUACGAGGCGGAAUUGGCGCUUGUAAAAGUUAACAGGAAACAUAUCCGGGUUCAACCAGCUAUAUUUCACGAGUCGAAGUCUUGUAAGAGGAGAAACACGUAAAGAUAGGUAAACGUGGCCCUUUACAAGGUUAGGUUAGGUAUUUUCUUCUGAGUGUUCAAAAAGGAUUCCAGCCACCAACAAUGUACAAAGUACUUGCAUAAAGGCACGUAGUUAAAUUGCGGCCAUUAUCGCGGAGAUCAAAUGAUGAAUACUGAUUCGAGAAAUAUGAGGUUUGCGCGAACUCAACAGUGUGCAACCACGUAUCGAUUCACGUUGAUCGAUCCAUCGUAGUUAACGACCAUAGAUGGACAAGAAUUGCAAAAAGUAAUUAAAGCCGAUUGGUUACGAAUUAUAAUCAUGCUUGUAAAUUAAUUUUCGAUAUACUACCGAGAUAUCGUCUUAGAUAUAGACGAACGAUCAAUGCAAAAUUAAAGAUAUGGCUUCUCUUAGUCGGACCACAAAUUAUAAUCAUCCUUGUAAAUUAAUUUGCGAUAUACUACCGAGAUAUGGUUUUAGAUAUAGACGAACGAUCAAUGAAAAAUUAAAGAUAUGGCUUCUCUUAGUCGGACCACAAAUUAUAAUCAUUCUUGUAAAUUAAUUUUUGAUAUACUACCAAGAUAUCGUCUCAGAUAUAAGCGAAUGAUCAAUGAAAAAUUAAGAAACUUUCAGAAUAUCAGUUUCUUUUUUUGAUACCACAAAUUAUAAUCAAGCUUAUAAAUUAAUUUUCGAUAUAGUAUCGUCUCAGAUAUAGGCAAACGAUCAAUGAAAAAUUAAGAAAGGUAUGUAUAUUUUGAUUGCAUUUAAGUUAGAUUAAGUAAUACGUUUAUGAUUCCAGAUAUGGGCUCUCUUUUAGUAUCACGAAUUAUAAUCAAGCUUGCAAAUUAAUUUUCAUUAUCGUGUCGGAUAUAG